UAGGGAAUUUUGCGCAAUGGGGGAAACCCUGACGCAGCAACACCGCGUGAAUGUUAAGCCCUUCGGGGUGUAAAGUUCUGUCAGUGGGGAAGAAUAAUGACUGUACCCACAAAGGAAGCACCGGCUAACUCCGUGCCAGCAGCCGCGGUAAUACGGGGGGUGCAAGCGUUGUCCGGAAUCAUUGGGCGUAAAGCGUUCGUAGGCGGUAAAGUAAGUCAGAUGUUAAAGCCCGGGGCUCAACUCCGGUUCGGCAUUUGAUACUACUUAACUAGAAUGUGGUAGAGGUAAAGGGAAUUCCUGGUGUAGCGGUGAAAUGCGUAGAUAUCAGGAGGAACAUCGGUGGCGAAAGCGCUUUACUGGGCCAUUAUUGACGCUGAGGAACGAAAGCCAGGGGAGCAAAUGGG
rnacentral:rRNA from 1 species